GUAUUCAAACUGAGAAACAGAUAUGGUUACUUAACAUUUAAGUGAAUUAGAUUUAGUUGUAUUUACUUUUAGACAGCCUAACACUGGAGGACAAGAGACAGCCGUCUAUGAAGACAUGGAACAAACUGGAGUUGACGGAUCGAAUAUUCAGGCCGAUGUAUCGAGUAAUUAUUUGUCACUGGAAACCAGGAGAGACGCACCAUACGAUGUGCUUAGAGUUUAUGACAAUACAUCGGAGGUCAAAGAAUGAUCGUCACAUAUCUAAAGUAUCUACCACAAACUGUAAUCGUUUUAUGACACAGUGUACUUCUCUACCAUCGUCGUCAUCAACAUUAUCGUCAUCAUCUUUAUUUCACACAUACAUGCAUGCUGGUGUUUAGGAUAACAUUAUGUAACUUUGUAUAACGUGUUUUACGUUAUCAUUGUCACCAUCAUCUUUAUCAUCAUAAUAAUCAUUGUUGUCGUCAUCACAGUCAUCAUUAUUUAGCACUGGAAUGCAUGUGUUCAACUUGACAUCCUAAAUAAUUUUGUAUAGCUUGCUUUAAUUCAUAAAAAGCAGCAAGAACA